CAUUACGUAGUCUAAUUUUAGAAUUGUGCUUGAAACAAAACCAUGAGGACAAAGAAGAAGAAUAAGAAAGGAAGAGAGAGUGGAACAUAGAUGAUAGUAGAUACUUCAAGAGGGGAAAAAGAUGGAGGGAGUGUUUGACACAAUCCCCCAACCACAAGAACCCAGCCUCUGUUUAGGCAUAUGUUAUUAUUAUUGCCCUAAUAGCCACCACCCAAAAGCACUGCUCUGCCAAACUGUGCACCAAGUUGAAGGAUGGAAGAGGAAGUGUGCAGAACAAUAGCAGUU
rnacentral:lncRNA from 1 species